UUCCCCAGCCCCCACCAGGGGCAGGGGAGGACCCAUCUGCUGGAGCCCUGCAAAGAGAGACCUUUCUUCCCUUUUAAAGGAUUAUUGAAAUAACGCCUGCCAUUUCUCUCCUAAAUGUGAUAUAUUGUCUGAUAACUGCCAGUUGCUUAUGAAUUAAAUCAAGUGGCUUCCAAGAGUUCUGGAGAUGACUCAUCUUAAGGUUCAGCGCAAACAUUCAGAAGAUCCUAAGGCUGACCUGGAGUAUGGCAUUAAUCAUCCGGCCACUCAUACAGGUGCUUCUAGCAGCAUAAGGUGAAGACCGUGGACAAAGCAGCUGGCGGGGAACAAGUCGUGCCUAUCCAGUUUUUAACCCUUUGUAAUUUCGAAUCUCUCUAAAGGAGACUGACGUUUUGGGGGCUCACAUAGGCUGGCAGGACUGCCAAUUUUCUAUGCACCAUAAUCCUGUGCACCUAAGUUCAGGAGCUACACUGCGUGCUCAGAUUAGAGUUGUAGGAAGCCUUCCAUCCCAGAGAAAAGAAGAUGCACUCAUCUAACCUUCUGUGUUAGGCCAGCAAAGGUCCAAAAAGGCCCACAAGGCUGACAUGGCUGAGGAAAACCAAGACACCAUCUGGCAUAAGAACAUAAUUUUCAAGUAUGAGUCUGGGCAGUGUUACUUAGGGGACAACAGCGAUGAGAAAUGGUUCUGUCAUGAUUUGGGGGCAUAUGUUGAAAUAACUCCCUCUCUGGAGGGAGGGCUUGAGGUUGGAGGACUCCAUAACUACCAAAGGGAUUCUGCUUCACAAACUGCUUGGCCAGCAGGGCUGGCCCUCGUGGACCUGGGCUUGUCUUUCCUCACCACUGGACCUUGUCAGGACCAUCCAGGUCACCCUGACAGGUUUCAAUACCCUUGAGUAUCCAAAGUAAGCAUUCAGAGCCUGGAUAAGUACUUUCAGAAGAUUUCCGGGUUAUCUACCUAUGAGCAAUGUCCCAUUCUCUUCCAAAUAACCUGCAACGUCUACAUAAAGAUGUUUCUCUGGGGUGAGCAGCGGUACUGCCUCCUGACUGGGUACUUCAUGUGUGUGGAAAGAUCACUCUGAUGGCAUCAAGGCAGCUGCAGUCGCGAGGGUGAGAAAAGACGAGGGCCUGAAAGAAGUACGAAGACGGAGAAGGAGGCCCGCUGGGAGAAGUGCUAAGUAAGUGGGCUCAACAGAAUGUGGUGACUUGUCAGCUGUGGCCACAGGCGGAGGCAAGGAGAGCUCCGGUGAUUCCGUGUUCCACGCUGGGCCACUGGGCAGAUGGAGACCACGCAAGAGCAGGCAUGACUAUUAUCCAGUAUUGUGUAAACUAAAAAUAAAACAAAACUGCAUG